GACAGAGGGGGCAAGCGUUGCUCGGAAUUACUGGGCUUAAAGCGCACGUAGGCGGCAUCGUAAGUGUCUGGUGAAAUCCCACGGCUCACCCGUGGAACUGCCAGGCAUACUGUGAUGCUCGAGUGUGGUAGGGGAGAGCGGAACUCCUGGUGGAGCGGUGAAAUGCGUAGAUAUCAGGAGGAACACCGGUGGCGAAGGCGGCUCUCUGGUCCACAACUGACGCUGAGGUGCGAAAGCUAGGGGGAGCAAACGGGG
rnacentral:rRNA from 1 species